GGGUUGUGAGGUUAAGCGACUAAGCGUACACGGUGGAUGCCCUGGCAGUCAGAGGCGAUGAAGGACGUGCUAAUCUGCGAUAAGCGUCGGUGAGGUGAUAUGAACCGUUAUAACCGGCGAUUUCCGAAUGGGGAAACCCAGUGUGAUUCGUCACACUAUCAUUAACUGAAUCCAUAGGUUAAUGAGGCGAACCGGGGGAACUGAAACAUCUAAGUACCCCGAGGAAAAGAAAUCAACCGAGAUUCCCCCAGUAGCGGCGAGCGAACGGGGAGCAGCCCAGAGCCUGAAUCAGUGUGUGUGUUAGUGGAAGCGUCUGGAAAGGCGCGCGAUACAGGGUGACAGCCCCGUACACAAAAAUGCACAUGCUGUGAGCUCGAUGAGUAGGGCGGGACACGUGGUAUCCUGUCUGAAUAUGGGGGGACCAUCCUCCAAGGCUAAAUACUCCUGACUGACCGAUAGUGAACCAGUACCGUGAGGGAAAGGCGAAAAGAACCCCGGCGAGGGGAGUGAAAAAGAACCUGAAACCGUGUACGUACAAGCAGUGGGAGCACGCUUAGGCGUGUGACUGCGUACCUUUUGUAUAAUGGGUCAGCGACUUAUAUUCUGUAGCAAGGUUAACCGAAUAGGGGAGCCGAAGGGAAACCGAGUCUUAACUGGGCGUUAAGUUGCAGGGUAUAGACCCGAAACCCGGUGAUCUAGCCAUGGGCAGGUUGAAGGUUGGGUAACACUAACUGGAGGACCGAACCGACUAAUGUUGAAAAAUUAGCGGAUGACUUGUGGCUGGGGGUGAAAGGCCAAUCAAACCGGGAGAUAGCUGGUUCUCCCCGAAAGCUAUUUAGGUAGCGCCUCGUGAAUUCAUCUCCGGGGGUAGAGCACUGUUUCGGCAAGGGGGUCAUCCCGACUUACCAACCCGAUGCAAACUGCGAAUACCGGAGAAUGUUAUCACGGGAGACACACGGCGGGUGCUAACGUCCGUCGUGAAGAGGGAAACAACCCAGACCGCCAGCUAAGGUCCCAAAGUCAUGGUUAAGUGGGAAACGAUGUGGGAAGGCCCAGACAGCCAGGAUGUUGGCUUAGAAGCAGCCAUCAUUUAAAGAAAGCGUAAUAGCUCACUGGUCGAGUCGGCCUGCGCGGAAGAUGUAACGGGGCUAAACCAUGCACCGAAGCUGCGGCAGCGACGCUGAUGCGUUGUUGGGUAGGGGAGCGUUCUGUAAGCCUGUGAAGGUGUGCUGUGAGGCAUGCUGGAGGUAUCAGAAGUGCGAAUGCUGACAUAAGUAACGAUAAAGCGGGUGAAAAGCCCGCUCGCCGGAAGACCAAGGGUUCCUGUCCAACGUUAAUCGGGGCAGGGUGAGUCGACCCCUAAGGCGAGGCCGAAAGGCGUAGUCGAUGGGAAACAGGUUAAUAUUCCUGUACUUGGUGUUACUGCGAAGGGGGGACGGAGAAGGCUAUGUUGGCCGGGCGACGGUUGUCCCGGUUUAAGCGUGUAGGCUGGUUUUCCAGGCAAAUCCGGAAAAUCAAGGCUGAGGCGUGAUGACGAGGCACUACGGUGCUGAAGCAACAAAUGCCCUGCUUCCAGGAAAAGCCUCUAAGCAUCAGGUAACAUCAAAUCGUACCCCAAACCGACACAGGUGGUCAGGUAGAGAAUACCAAGGCGCUUGAGAGAACUCGGGUGAAGGAACUAGGCAAAAUGGUGCCGUAACUUCGGGAGAAGGCACGCUGAUAUGUAGGUGAAGUCCCUUGCGGAUGGAGCUGAAAUCAGUCGAAGAUACCAGCUGGCUGCAACUGUUUAUUAAAAACACAGCACUGUGCAAACACGAAAGUGGACGUAUACGGUGUGACGCCUGCCCGGUGCCGGAAGGUUAAUUGAUGGGGUCAGCGCAAGCGAAGCUCUUGAUCGAAGCCCCGGUAAACGGCGGCCGUAACUAUAACGGUCCUAAGGUAGCGAAAUUCCUUGUCGGGUAAGUUCCGACCUGCACGAAUGGCGUAAUGAUGGCCAGGCUGUCUCCACCCGAGACUCAGUGAAAUUGAACUCGCUGUGAAGAUGCAGUGUACCCGCGGCAAGACGGAAAGACCCCGUGAACCUUUACUAUAGCUUGACACUGAACAUUGAGCCUUGAUGUGUAGGAUAGGUGGGAGGCUUAGAAGUGUGGACGCCAGUCUGCAUGGAGCCGACCUUGAAAUACCACCCUUUAAUGUUUGAUGUUCUAACGUUGACCCGUAAUCCGGGUUGCGGACAGUGUCUGGUGGGUAGUUUGACUGGGGCGGUCUCCUCCUAAAGAGUAACGGAGGAGCACGAAGGUUGGCUAAUCCUGGUCGGACAUCAGGAGGUUAGUGCAAUGGCAUAAGCCAGCUUGACUGCGAGCGUGACGGCGCGAGCAGGUGCGAAAGCAGGUCAUAGUGAUCCGGUGGUUCUGAAUGGAAGGGCCAUCGCUCAACGGAUAAAAGGUACUCCGGGGAUAACAGGCUGAUACCGCCCAAGAGUUCAUAUCGACGGCGGUGUUUGGCACCUCGAUGUCGGCUCAUCACAUCCUGGGGCUGAAGUAGGUCCCAAGGGUAUGGCUGUUCGCCAUUUAAAGUGGUACGCGAGCUGGGUUUAGAACGUCGUGAGACAGUUCGGUCCCUAUCUGCCGUGGGCGCUGGAGAACUGAGGGGGGCUGCUCCUAGUACGAGAGGACCGGAGUGGACGCAUCACUGGUGUUCGGGUUGUCAUGCCAAUGGCACUGCCCGGUAGCUAAAUGCGGAAGAGAUAAGUGCUGAAAGCAUCUAAGCACGAAACUUGCCCCGAGAUGAGUUCUCCCUGACUCCUUGAGAGUCCUGAAGGAACGUUGAAGACGACGACGUUGAUAGGCCGGGUGUGUAAGCGCAGCGAUGCGUUGAGCUAACCGGUACUAAUGAACCGUGAGGCUUAACCUUACAACGCCGAAG
rnacentral:rRNA from 1 species